rnacentral:rRNA from 1 species
UACGUAGGGACCAAGCGUUGUCCGGAUUUAUUGGGCGUAAAGAGCGUGUAGGCGGCCGCACAGGUCCGUUGUGAAAACUGGAGGCUUAACCUUCAGACGUCGAUGGAAACCGUGCGGCUAGAGUCCGGAAGAGGAGAAUGGAAUUCCUGGUGUAGCGGUGAAAUGCGCAGAUAUCAGGAAGAACACCCGUGGCUAAGGCGGUUCUCUAGUACGGUACUGACGCUGAGACGCGAAAGCGUGGGGAGCGAACAGG